AUUGAACGCUGGCGGCAUGCCUUACACAUGCAAGUCGAACGGUAACGCGGGGCAACCUGGCGACGAGUGGCGAACGGGUGAGUAAUGCAUCGGAACGUGCCCAGUAGUGGGGGAUAGCCCGGCCAAAGCCGGAUUAAUACCGCAUACGACCUACGGGUGCAAGGGGGGGAUCGCAAGACCUCUCGCUAUUGGAGCGGCCGAUGUCAGAUUAGGUAGUUGGUGGGGUAAAGGCGUACCAAGCCGCCGAUCUGUAGCUGGUCUGAGAGGACGACCAGCCACACUGGGACUGAGACACGGCCCAGACUCCUACGGGAGGCAGCAGUGGGGAAUUUUGGACAAUGGGCGCAAGCCUGAUCCAGCAAUGCCGCGUGCAGGAAGAAGGCCUUCGGGUUGUAAACUGCUUUUGUCAGGGAAGAAAUCCUCUGGGUUAAUACCCCGGGGGGAUGACGGUACCUGAAGAAUAAGCACCGGCUAACUACGUGCCAGCCGCCGCGGUAAUAC
rnacentral:rRNA from 1 species